CAGAACGAACGCUGGCGGCAUGCCUAACACAUGCAAGUCGAACGAGACCUUCGGGUCUAGUGGCGCACGGGUGCGUAACGCGUGGGAAUCUGCCCUUGGGUUCGGAAUAACAGCGAGAAAUUGCUGCUAAUACCGGAUGAUGACGUAAGUCCAAAGAUUUAUCGCCCAAGGAUGAGCCCGCGUAGGAUUAGCUUGUUGGUGAGGUAAAGCUCACCAAGGCGACGAUCCUUAGCUGGUCUGAGAGGAUGAUCAGCCACACUGGACUGAGACACGGGGGGGGCCCAGAC
rnacentral:rRNA from 1 species